UCUAGCCAUAAGUGGAGCCAGUGGCGUUUUCCUGUAAAUUUCCUUGUAAAUAAGUUCUGAGAAAAGACAUUGAAAUUGGAGAACAGUCCGUGCAGGUCUGGAAGGCCCUUAGGCUGUAAAUGCCUACCGUAGUGCCUGUGCUUGAAUUCACAGGGAGAUGGGUGUUUCCGGAAGUGAAUCAGUGAACUGCAGGGAGACUGGAAAACAUGCUGCCAAUUCAAAAACGUUUAAAAAUGGUCUGACAAAUCCUAUGAGUUUUGAAGGUGUGUGAAGGUCAUUGUGACAGAUGUUUUCCAAAAGCUUAACAGAAAAUGGCAAUGAAAAAGUAGAACCACCACUGCAUAUAUUGAGCACAUAGGUAGCUGCAGAUGGAUGUCCUUUAGCUGCAGUUUUUUGAAAUACUCCUUUGUUGCCUCAGAGGUGUGCCAUGCAACAUUAUGGAAGAAAGAACGAAGACUGCUAGAAAACAGAUGAACAGGAGCAAAUGAUGAAAAUGAAUAUUUUACUUGGUUUUACUAACUUCAUUAUAAAUGAUAUAGAAAAUAAAUAGCCUCAAGCUGUCAUCCUGGAUAGAGUGCCAUGGCAUCACACAGCUCACAGCAACCUCCAACUCUUGGGCUCAAGAGAGUCUCCUGCCUCCGCCUCCCAAGGAGCUGGGACUACAGGCGCCCGCCACAACACCCGGAUAUUUUUUGGUUGCAGCUGUCAUUGUUGUUUGGCGGGCCAGGGCUGGAAUCGAAGCCACCAGCUCAGGUGUACGUGGGU